UUAAGACCAAGACGCUUCUACGUAUAGAACAGAUUAAGGUCAAGCGCGAGAAAACAACAACACUGAGAAAAUCAGACAAGUUUAUCGGCCGCAUAAAACAUUUGAAUUUAAGAUGGAACAAGCUCCACCAUACACCUUUGGAAAACAGAAUCCUGAAUACGUACCUGAUCAAUCUAUUCAUCAAUCUCAGCCUGGUUACC